rnacentral:rRNA from 1 species
AGUGAACGCUGGCGGCAGGCCUAAUACAUGCAAGUCGAACGGCAGCACAGCAGAGCUUGCUCUGUGGGUGGCGAGUGGCGGACGGGUGAGGAAUACAUGGGAAUCUGCCCAGUCGUGGGGGAUAACGUAGGGAAACUUACGCUAAUACCGCAUGCGCCCUUCGGGGGAAAGCCGGGGACCUUCGGGCCUGGCGCGAUUGGAUGAGCCCAUGUCGGAUUAGCUAGUUGGCGGGGUAAAGGCCCACCAAGGCGACGAUCCGUAGCUGGUCUGAGAGGAUGAUCAGCCACACUGGAACUGAGACACGGUCCAGACUCCUACGGGAGGCAGCAGUAGGGAAUAGUCUACAAUGGUCGGAAGACUGAUAGUGCGACGCCGCGUGAACGAUGGAUCCCUUCGGGGUGUAAAGUUCUUUUAUAUGUGAGCAGUGCUUCUUAUAUUAACAGUAUGGGGAGAGAGAUAUUAGCAUAUGAAUAAGCAAACGG